UACGUAGGGGGCAAGCGUUGUCCGGAUUUAUUGGGCGUAAAGAGCGUGUAGGCGGUUUGGUAGGUCCGCUGUGAAAACUCGAGGCUCAACCUCGAGACGCCGGUGGAAACCAUCAGACUAGAGUCCGGAAGAGGCAAGUGGAAUUCCCGGUGUAGCGGUGAAAUGCGCAGAUAUCGGGAGGAACACCAAUGGCGAAGGCAGCUUGCUGGGACGGUACUGACGCUGAGGCGCGAAAGCGUGGGGAGCAAACAGG
rnacentral:rRNA from 1 species